GAUGCCCUGCCACAUGCGCCGCGUGUCACCGCUGUCCUGGAAGUGACUGUGGAUUCUCUGGGCGUGUGCGCGCUUUGCCUCUCUGAUUGCCCGGGACAGUUUGGCCCUAGCUGUUCUUAGGGCUGCCUUAUCGCCUGCUCUGAAGGCGGAGUCUCGGGACCUCAGCAGCGUGCGCACCUCCGCAGUCAUCCACGGCUUCUGGUUGGAGCGUGUGGUGAUGAUCUUGGAGAAAGUGACAUCAUCAAUGCACUUGCUGAUGUAGCUGGUCACUGAUGCUGUGUAUUCCUCCAAGUUGGUAGAAUCGCCAUAUGUUGCAGCCUCCCUGAACAUGUGCCAGUCAGUACACUCAAAGCAGUCCUGAAGAGCAGAGAUGGCUCCUGCUGGCCAGGUUUUCACCUGGCCAGCAGGUGUUAAUGUGCCGAUUAACACAUUGAAAUAAUCGUAAUUAAUUGCUUAUCAAUAUUUGCUGAGAAAGGCCCCCAAAUAUAUAAUAUUUAAAGUCAUUAUAAAUAUAAAAUUAUAAAAAAAAUAUUAUAAUUCAGAUCAUUUAAAUACAUUACAUCAGAUACAAACUGUGGCAACAUACAAGCAUUCAGCCAAUACAAAAAGGCUUUAAAAGUCAAAAUAAUGUUUGCUUUAUUUCCAUAUUAAUAAACAUCAAUCUAUUUUUGGCCUACCUUCCUCUGCGCUGUUGUACUCAUGCAUCAAACGGAUGCUUUUGGAGCAUCUCACAUCUUUGGAGUUUUAGACCCCGUUUCCACCUCGGGUGAUCCGAUCACAUAUGGUCAGGUGAGACGCAUCGCUGUUUAAAUGUGUCUCCUGUGACCACUUGUGAUCACAUUUGGAGGGGAGGGUCUCUGUUUCAUGAUGACAUAUAUCAAUCACUAUGCCAGUGUGUCACUGCAUGAUACUGCAUGUAAGUGCAUGAAAUGGUUCCGGAAUGGUUUUUCCCAUUAAUUUUCUCCAUAGACAUUUUCGAAUGAUUCAAUUAGAGGUUGAUUUGAAGGAAUAAAGAAGUUAAAAAUCAGAAGAUAUGGGGCCUGGGUAUCUCGGUGAGUAAAUACUCCUCUGGAGUCACGAGGUCGAAUCCAGGGCGUGCUGAGCGACGCCAGCCAGGUCUCCUAAGCAACCAAAUUGGCCCGGUUGCUAGGGAGGGUAGAGUCACAUGGGGUAACCAGGGGUGGAAAGAGUACUGAAAAAACAUACUCAAGUAGAAGUACUGUUACUUCCCCAAAAAAGUAGUGUGAGUAGAGUAAAAGUAGCUGUCCUAAAAACUACUCAAGUAAGAGUAAAAGAGUAGCUCAUUUAAAAGUACUCAUGAGUAGUGAGUAUUGAGUACCGAAUUGCAAAACCUAUGCCCAGUUAUAAUGAACACUGUAUGCCACCUUUUAAAAUACAUCACUUAUCUAUGAUAAACACUACAUGAAUCUGAUUCCAAAAAAUAAAAGGGAUGCUGCUGUGAUGUGAAGUUCAGGUGUAAACUGCUUGAAGCAUCCAUAACAGUUGGCACCAGAUCUGCAGCUGCCAUUCAAGUUUUUUAUGUGUGAUUUGACAGGAGAGACUCUCCCUAGCCAAUCUUGUUGAUGGAUAAAAAUAAAAUCAGGACAGGGAAGUAGCGAACUCAGACGGUGGGGAAAAUAGCGCAGUAAAAGUACAGUUACAGCACUUAACUGUACUCAAGUAAAAGUAUAAAAAAAUUUAACUACUUAAAAAAGUACAAUUCCUGGGAAAAAGUAGUUAAUUACAGUAACAUGAGUAUUUGUAAUUUGUUUCUUUACACCCCUGGGGGUAACCUCCUCAUGGUCACUAUAAUGUGGUUCUCGCUCUGGAGAAUAGCGUGAAGAAUUGCGUGAAGCCUCCACACAUGCUGUAUCUCCACGGUUUGAAAACGCGUCUUUUUCUCUUCGUUUUGGCCUUCCGUCCACACUGAGAUGGCGUUUCUGUCCGUGAAAACGCACUCCAAAGUGAUACAUUUGAAAACGCCGUUUUCGCGUUGUAGUGCGGACUGUGAAAAUGGAUGCUUUGGAAAACGAUGACGCAUUUUUAGUCAUGUGAUCUAUCCAACCAAAACAAUCAAGAUGGCGGCCCGUGUUAUAGCGGCGCUGUUGUGCCAGAUACUCACUUUGAUAGCGUUGUUAAAAAAUAAAUGUCACUUUGUACAACUUUCACAUUGCAUUCCUUCAAAGGCGAAGGGAAGUUUACUCGGAAUUCGUGUCUGGCGAGGGAACACGAGGACAAUUGCAUUUCAGACCGUACAUGCAAUGCAGUGACACGAUUUAAGCAUUUUCAUAUGUUUUAGUGUGGACGAGCAACUUUUGGAAAAUGCUUGAAAACGUUAGUGUGGAUGGAGAGUGGUUUGAAAUGAAAACGCAGUUUUAAAAUGUAUCCGGAUUAAUGUAGACGUAGCCUAAAUAAACGUAUUAUUAUUAUUAUUAUUAUUAUAUUAUAGGACGUAAACAAUAUGUGUGUUUACAUGAUUUUAGUGCAAUAAAAUCAUACUAAACUCUUACCUCUCUGGCCACCAACACUGCAUUUCUUUACAUCAGUAUAAAUCAAAUUCUGUUCCUGUUUCUCAAGGUGUCCCCCAGGGUUCUGUACUUGGUCCUUUGCUCUUCAUCACCUAUAUGCUUCUUCUAGGUCACAUUAUUUACCAUCAUGGCUUCAACUUUCACUGCUAUGCUUAUGACACUCGACUUUAUAACAAAAGCUCUAAGCACACUGCCCCAUUCCCCACAAGUUCCCUCUCUGAAUAUAUUAAAGAUAUCAACUCAUCGAUGAUCAGUAACUUUCUAAAACUCAACACUGAUAAAACUGAUGUACUGAUGUACUGACGUCUCCCUGAUCAGUUGGUCGAUGUUAAUGAUGUCCUGGUCAGACCCUCCGCUAUUGUUCGUAAUCUUGGCAUUAUCGUUGACCCCACACUCUCUUUCCACGCUCACAUCUCUUAGACGUAGCCUAAAUAAACGUAUUAUUAUUAUUAUAUUAUUAUAGGACGUAAACAAUAUGCAUGUUUACAUGAUUUUAGUGCAAUAAAAUCAUACUAAACUUGUCUGUAAAGUUACAGCCAAUUUUACAACUUUGUUGCCAUGAGAAGGUAAUGUCAAUAAACCCUAAAAUGAUGAUUUAUACAAUUUUACAGCUCAAAUAAUACACAAGUUUUAACAGAAGAUUUAAUGUAAGUGCUUUCAUACAUUAUGCCACAAAUGCUGUUGAUUGAGCUUCACUUAUAUUGAACCCAGAAUAUUCCUUUAAACUUUGAUCUCGAUGUAGUUGUGUCUUGCAAGUUUCAUAUGUUGUCUUAAAAAAAGUAUUUUACUGUCAUAACACAGUUGUUGAGCUAUAUUGGGGCUAAAGUCAAGGAUAGCUACAGUUUUGUGACAUUUUCUUCAGAUUUUUGCAAUUAAGAAAUAAUCAUGAAAUGGAGCACAAGUGCUAAUAUGGGGAAUUGUUGUGGCAAGAGACUCAAAUACCUUUUGUAUCUCAUUUCAGUUCUGCUCCUUGCUCUUUGGGAAUGUAUUUAGUGACAAAAGCAAUGGUGAUACUGUGGAUUUACCCUGUCUGGUGUACGCCCGUGGCAGGACGGAGGAAGUGAGGAGGAACAGGACAAGAUUACCUAAUGCAGGAAGUCUGCAGCAGAUGCUAUGCCCACUGAAUACACUGGCCGCCAUUCCUUCCAUCAUUGCCAGCCUAGCCAGCCCCAGCUCAUAGUAGCUGGUGGUGAGGAUUCCCACAGGGUGGCUUGGAACAAAUC